GAUGAACGCUGGCGGCGUGCUUAACACAUGCAAGUCGAACGAUGAAGCCCAGCUUGCUGGGUGGUUUUGUGGCGAACGGGUGAGUAACACGUGAGUAACCUGCCCUUGACUCUGGGAUAAGCCUGGGAAACUGGGUCUAAUACUUGCUAUGACUUCUCAUCACAUGGUGGGGGGAGGAAUGAUAUAUUGGUCUUGGAUGGCCUCGCGGCCAAUCAGCUUGGUAGUGAGGUAUUGGCUCACCAAGGCGACGACGGGUAGCCGGCCUGAGAGGGUGACCGGCCACCAUGCGACUGAGACACGCACCAGACUCCUACGGGAGGCAGCAGUGGGGAAUAUUGCACAAUGGGCGCAAGCCUGAUGCAGCGACGCUGUGUGAGGGAUGACGGCCUUCGGGUUGUAAACCUCUUUCAGUAGAGAAGAAGCGAGAGUGACGGUACCUGCAGAAGAAGCGCCGGCUAACUACGUG
rnacentral:rRNA from 1 species